ACCCAGGUCCCCUGCAUUGAAGCGUGUGAAGUCUUAACCACUGGACCAUCAGGGAAGUCUGCAGGUGCUCCUUUUUGGGAUUCCUCUUCUCCCAUUCAGGCCGUGAACAGGGUAAGAAGUGGAAAACACCCUGGGCCGAGGCAGCGCCUGCAGCUUGCUUUGUUUUGUUUUGAAAUUGCUUGAGAGAGAUCUUCCUUGUACCUCCUAAGCUGCCUGUCAUAUGUGAAAAGCCAGAACAGGACUCUUAAGAUUCUAUAAAUGAAUUCGUUUUGGAAAACAGGGUUCUUUGCUGGGCGGGAAGGAACUGUAGCAAUCACUGGGUCCAGCGUGUCACUUACAGAUGUGCAGAAUGAGGCCCGCGACCUGGACCCGGCAGCCAUAGGCCAGUCUAACCUCUGCCCCAGGGCUCUCUCACACUCUCCCAAGCACUCCAGGCUCAGCUGAACAGCUCACACUUGUUUUCUGCAGAGUGAAACUCAACUCGAUGCAUCAAGACACAAUCGAUAGCUUCAGAGCUGGGCCCAAGUGAGUCCUCCCCAGACUUCCCUGGCCUCUCUGCUGAGCCCCAGCCAGUCCCAAGCAACAGCCCCAGGUCAGGAUGGUACCUGCCCUCCAGUCUUUAUCCCUGGAGCUCCUUCAGAAGAUGGGUGCUGUCAUUCCUGCUUUUCAAUAUGGACAUCAAGGCUGGGAGAGGUGCAAAGGAAAUUGCCCCUUGUAAGUGUCUGUGUGUCUCAAGCCCCCACUCCCUCAGCCACCACCAGGAUUGUUUCGGCGCCUGUCAGUUGAAUUUGCACUAAUGAGAUUAAAGUCGGUGUGUUGGAACGUUCACACAUUUUUGCCCAGAUCCGUUCAAAAUUCCUAAGGGGGUGUGGCUGCACAUGCACCGAUGACCGCCCGCCAGAAGGCCAAGGACAGCUGGCUGAUGGACGGCAUUCUACACGCCAGUGCCCUGGAACAGAUGGUGCCCAGAGGCCAACCCGUGUGCUCCAUGGAUGAGCAGGUGAAAUUUGGGAAGCUGAGUCAGCUGUGGAAGAAUCUUCUCCCUCAUUCCUACACACACACACACACACACACACACACACAUUACGGGGCCUCUUCAGUUCUGGAAGUCUGCUCCUCUCUUUUCAGUUCCUAUCAGGUCCUCCUGUUUGCUUAGUCAAUAGAAUAUGCUGACACUUGACUUGGUUGUACAUUUUUGAUGCCAUGUACAUAUGGUGGCCCCUCCUGGAUUCCUCAUGUCUAUCACUACACACAAUGGCGUCUUGCUCACCAGUGUGUGAAAGAGGCUGUGGCUCAGUGAUAUAGGAAGUUCAAGUUAGGACUUAGAGGGUGAAGUAAGAGGCCGGAGUAACUAGGGUUGAUAGGAGUGUGCAGCUCUGCUCUAAUGGUUGAGGAAGUAACAGGGAACUUCAGUGGAAAAGAAAUGGGAGUUUGGGAGGCCUGUGUGAGAAGUGAGCACACCUCAGUUGGAGGUGGCUGGUUCUGAAUGUCAACAGCUCAUGGGUGUCAUCCACGGCAUCAGAAAGGUUUGUCGAGACCUUGGGAAGUAUGCAACUGUCUUCUACUCUGUCUCUGAUUCCUAUUGACUUAUGUCACUUCCCAUCAUCCAUUUCCAUUGGCCCCAAAAGCUUGCCAAGGGCACCCUGCUAAUUAAUUCCCCAUUGCCUGUGAGCUCAGGUAUGCUUUGGUGAUGAUUUCUAGGUUUGGGGAAAAACCAGUUUUGGGCUCUUAUGGUAUCCCUGCUGGUCGUGAUUUCUGCCUCAGACUUCUCUGUGGCAUCAGAUGACUGUGCCAUUAUUUCAUUUAGCACUUAUUGGAGACCUACUUGAGAGCAGGAAAUGACCUUGUUGUUGGUUAGUCACCAAGUCGUGUCUGAC